ACAUCAGGCUGGACCUGGUGGAGUUUGUGGAGAGGGGAAUGCGGCGUGUAGGUGACGCAGUGGGUGUCGUGGGUUGUGAUAAGCAGCAAGCCUCGUGUGGCGUUGGCGUGGAGAGGCUGGCAGGCAAGGAGAGUUUUCCUUUGCUGGUAUAGCGUUGUGUCUUAGGAACUGUAAGAAUUAACCUUAAUUCCUUGCUCUAGUCUUAACUUUUCAUCUUCCAAACUUUUUUUCAUCUCAAGGUACCGUUCUUCCCCUCCAAAACCUUGGCUACAUUGUCUACUUCAGCGUCAGACCUUGAGGGUGAAGAGUACGCUCAGCAAGUUUAGUUACUGCAGUUAUGCUGAACAGUGACAAAUUGUGUCGUGGCAUUGUGAUGAAGACAAAUACUUUCUGAGGAGAGAAGAAAUCCGAAGUUUUCACUUGCGUACUGAAGUCUGAAGAGGCAACAGCUGUCAAAAUGGAUUUCCUACUUGUUUGGAGUGUGCGUCAGGAAAAAUUUCAGUUUCCUUAAUGAUGCUUGGGUUUACUCUGCUCAUCAAAGGGGCAGUCCAAGUGUGAUUAGAUCUACUCAUUAGAUCUUCACAAUGAAGUGUAUCCCAGCAUUUCCACUACAAUGUGCUUCUCACCGUGUCUUUUGUGAAACACACACCAAAUGGUGAACAACAUGCAGAAGGGAAAACAAGCAUCUGCUUCCUGGAAACA